GACAGAGGGGGCAAGCGUUGCUCGGAAUUACUGGGCGUAAAGGGCGCGUAGGCGGGAUGGCAAGUCGGUCGUGAAAUCCUUCGGCUCAACCGAAGAACGUCGAUCGAUACUGCUGUUCUUGAGGGUUGCAGAGGGAGACUGGAAUUCCCGGUGUAGCGGUGAAAUGUGUAGAGAUCGGGAGGAACACCAGUGGCGAAGGCGGGUCUCUGGACAGUUCCUGACGCUGAGGCACGAAGGCCAGGGGAGCAAA
rnacentral:rRNA from 1 species